AUGGAUUUUAUUACUGGAUUACCUCCUUCCUAUCUGUUUGAUUGCAUAUUUGUGGUCAUUGACAAGUUUACAAAAUAUGGGCAUUUCAUGGCCCUCAAACACCCCUUUUCUGCACAAAAGGUUGCUGAAGUGUUCUUGGACAAUAUCUACAAACUGCAUGGCAUGCUAGAGUACAUUGUAUCUGACAGAGAUCCGGUGUUCACAAGCAAAUUUUGGCAAACUCUUGUUCACAGGACUGGUACUCGGCUUAACAUGAGUACUGCAUAUCACCCUGCUAUUGAUGGUCAGACUGAGAGAGUCAACCAGCAAAUUGAAUGCUACCUCAAAAGUUUUAUUAGUUCUCACCCCUCCAAAUGGAGCAAAUGGCUGUCCCUGUGUGAGUUUUGGUAUAAUACAAAUUGGCAUUCAGCUGUGGGCAAGUUUCCCUUUGAGGUACUUUAUGGGCACUCUCCUAGAUACUUUGGGAUUGCUGCCAGUGAUACUGUUGCCCCUGUGGAUAUUAUUCAGUGGCUACAAGACAGGGAGGUUAUGGUAGCUUCUGUUAAAUAA
rnacentral:rRNA from 1 species